GACGAACGCUGGCGGCGUGCUUAACACAUGCAAGUCGAACGGAAAGGCCCUGCUUUUGUGGGGUGCUCGAGUGGCGAACGGGUGAGUAACACGUGAGUAACCUGCCCUUGACUUUGGGAUAACUUCAGGAAACUGGGGCUAAUACCGGAUAGGAGCUCCUGCUGCAUGGUGGGGGUUGGAAAGUUUCGGCGGUUGGGGAUGGACUCGCGGCUUAUCAGCUUGUUGGUGGGGUAGUGGCUUACCAAGGCUUUGACGGGUAGCCGGCCUGAGAGGGUGACCGGCCAGAUGGGGACGGGGGUGGGGCCCAGGCGGCGAGGGGAGGGAGGAGGGGGGAGUAGGCCGAAGGGGGGGGGGGGCGGGAGGGAGAGCGCCGGGGGGGGGGGGACGGCCUUGGGGUGGUAAGGCGGUUUCGCCUGGGCGGGGGGGGGGUGAAGGGUAAUGGGGAAGAAAGCCCGGCCAACUAAGGG
rnacentral:rRNA from 1 species